rnacentral:sRNA from 1 species
GUUGGGUGUGGUGGCACAUGCCUGUAGUCCUAGCUACUUGGGAGGCUGAGGCAGGAGAGUCACCUGAACCCAGGAGGUGGAGGUUGCAGUGAGCUGAGAUUGCGCCACUGCACUCCAGCCUGGCAACAGAGCAAGACUCCAGCUCAAAACAUAAAUAAAUAAAUACAUAGAAAUAACAAUUUAUUGAGACAGGCUGGAGUGCAGUGAUGUAAUCACAGCUCACUGCAGUCUUUAUCUCCUGGGCUCAAGGGACCCUCUGGCCUCA